AAGCAGUUGUUUUAUUAUCUUGUUAAUAAAAAAUAGUGCAAAUAUAGACACUUGCUAGAACUUCCUUCUUCUCGUGCUUCAGUUCUCCUCCUUGUCCUCUUUCUUCCCAUUGAGAUAUACGCUAUUGAAAAUUGAAGAUCCAUUAUUUUAUUUGUGGUUGAAAUUGAAUGAUUAUUGAUUUAUUGAAGAAAAUAGAAGCAUCAUUAUUGGAUUAUGUUGAGCUUAAAAAAAUGUUGAAGAAGGCAAAGUGGUCUAUCGAUUUUUCAAGGUUUGAGACUUUGAGUUGAAUCCAAACAUUAGGAAGAAGGGUUUCUAUGUUUUCCAGCUACCAGUGGUGGAACACAUGGUAAGGUAAAAACUUGUCCUUUUUUGGCUGUUUUUGUUGUUUUUCCUUCUCUUGGACCACCCCAUUAGAGGUUCAGGUUGUAUGCGAAGGACAAGAAAUGGAAAUAGAUCUUGUCUUGACAUUAAUAUCCAGCUUGUACUCUAAAAAGCAAUAGAAGCAAUGGAAUUCCUAGGGAAUUGAUCAAUAUCAUGAUAUAUCGAACAAUAUUUUUGUACUAGAAAUAAUUUUCAACAUUCACUACAACAUUUUUGACAACUGGAUAAACAUUAUAUAAGCUAUUCUAACAUAAGCUUCCUCUCACCAAAAUUUGUACUUUGAUGGCUGCUAAUGCAUGA